rnacentral:lncRNA from 1 species
GGGGAAGAACACACGUGCCCUUUCCCAGUGGAUGCAGGGAGAAAAGUUCCUCCUAUCGCUUUGUGUUUAAUGUUAUGAAUCUGACUUCCUUGUCAACAUCAAGAUUCAUGACAGCAAACAGAGAGCUCAUGAAGCCUGCAUUUCUGUGAGUUGGGAAUAGAUUAGAGUAUUUAGACAGCUUUCAUGUCCAGUCCCUGCCAGUCUUGCUGGACAUAAAAGAAACUUCAGAAAAUUCUCCAGAUCUACUACAGACCCCGAGUGAGAUCCAGGGAGGAGAAGCAUUACUUGCUGAAGGGAGGAAGCUGGUGGAGUAGCAGAGAGAAACUAAAGCCCUUCAGGAGCCGAAUGAGCAUGUAUAUUCAGGAGCCGAUGUCCAGGACCAAGGUGAACUGGGGUUGAAGACAUGCUCUGAACCGCAGGUAGGGUUUGGGAGUCAGCAUGGUGGCGGCAGUCUUUCAAGGGAAAAACAGUCUAGAGGCUAUAUCUUUCACGAUGUGUGUUCCCAUGAUGACACCCCAGUUCCUAACCUUGCUUGUCAUCCUUUUCAAAAGAUCCUCGCCUAAAUCUACUGUAUGAAUUGAUAGCCACCUUUUAAUGGUACACACCUACUUUCCAAAGGGUUUGAUCUUCUCCUGGGUUUCCUCAUUCUCCAGCAAAACAUGUCUACACAUUUGUUUUAUGUAGUCUAGGAAAACAAUCCACGGGGCUUUGAUAAAAAGAAUCCAGGGUGUCUGUAAGGAUUUUAUAUCUAGUCUAAGUCUCCCUGUGAGUGUGGCAUGUAAAUAUGUCUUUUAUUUUUGAGCAUUCAGUGUAUAACCAUUGGAGUACGAGUAUACUUAAAACCGAUCUUAAUUAAAUAUACCUGGGGUCUACAUGGGGUGCUUCACGUUGGGCUACCUGAUGUUGGACCUGCAGGUUCACUUAUGCUUCCAAUACCUCUAAAUGGACUCUUGCUCAUCCACAGACAAGAUUAUUAGCAACUGUGUUCCAUACUCUAUGGAGCCAGAGGCAUAAGCUGUGUCUAUCCUGGCAAAUGCUUUCUGGUCUUGCCACAUUUCCCAGCAGAAGUGACUCCCCCUCUGUCUUUAGAACAGAUUUACCCAAGUGGAGUCUGUGCCAGGUGUUUUCUUCCAUUCAAGCCUUUUGUUGACACUUGUUCAUCCAGUGAAAGGCAGAUGACAAUGGGGGUGAGGAGUGACUGAAACGUGUAAAUGUGGAGAAAGAAGUUGACAGUGAUGGGAAAGGGAGUGAAGGAUACAUCUGGGGGAAGGAUUUGGGGGACAAGAAAGAUGUGAGAACAUUUGAAGUCUGAGAGAAAAGCCCAACUGUGGAGGAUGAGAUUGAAAGUACUGAAGAGACAGUGUAAGGGAUGGUGCAGGAGCUCAGAGGAGGCAGGAGAGUUUGAAAUAAAGGAUUUAGGAAGUGGAUGCAUCUAAAAUUGUUGGUUCCUCUCCCCUGACAAUGGAAGAAAUGGAAGAGAAUAAUGAGAGCAUUUUUAUGUUUCCUUAUCAGAAGUCCCAGACUAAGAGAAAAGCUAUUUAAGGAUGGAAGCCUAUUUUAUUCCCCCAGGGUCUGUGUCUGUCCCCUUGUUUGCACAAAUGCAAACCGAGGCUUGAAGGGAACAGAAAAGAGGUGAAGUGCCUGCCAAUAAUAAGCCUAUGCUUCAGUGGAGAAGGCAAAUCAGUAAGAAAUUAUGGUAAGUGACUACACAUGAUGUUACAAGUUGAUAAAGCGAUUUUGUGAUAAUUUUCUAAAUAUGGUCAUCUUGCUCUUGUAUCAAAACAGGAAGGGACUGAGGAAUCACUUACAAAUGCGAAUGCUUUUUACAAGAAAGAAAAUGUUCACCGUAAAAGAAUCGGCACUAAUCUACAAUUGUCAUAGAAUGGAAAAUAUAAUUUUGCAGGAUUAUAGAAUUUAAAGAUUUUUGGUUCUGCUCUGAUUUGGAUCACUGCAUAACAACUUCAAGAACUUGAGAGUUGGAGAAACCAUGCACACAAAAAAAACAUUAGAAUGAUUUUGGAUUAAACUCACCAGCUUCAGAAACGCCUAAUUAAAACUGAUACUAGAAUUAAAUAUUAGAAAGGUAAAUAGGACCAUUAUACAAAAAUCACAGCCAUGAAUCCAUGAAACACCAACAGCAGAUGGAGGACAGGAAGGGAGGAGAGAACCGUGGGUUUGACAACUGAAACUCAAUAGGUCAACCGUAUCAGAAGACACUGUGUAUGGCCUUUUCCUUCUCUCAUUCUCUAUCACACAAACACACUUGCUCACGCAGAGAGGAGGGUUUGAUACAAUUCCUCCUACAGAAAGAAACUGUGGGGUGUUUCCCACAGGCAUAUGCAUUUAGUUCUAGUUCAGGCUAGAGAAUCUGGGUUUCAUUCCCAGUCCCACAGGACUCUGACUCAAAAAUCACCAUGCUGAGAAGUUGCUAAAAUAAAUAUUUUCUUUUAAAACUCUUAAAGCACUGUAAAGAAGGGUCUUAUAACUACUUAAUGAUAUGUUACCCAAAUUGGCAAACCGAAACAGCAGUAAUACUAUGAGGGGUAUCACAGCAAAAUAGCAAAUGAUGGCUACGAAUGACGUUUGGGUCAAUGGGACAUCUCUGAGCAUGAACCACUGUGAUUAUAGAACUUAAAAGGCAACCAUGCAACAGGUUGAAGACAAAAUAAAGCAGAAGAUCUAUUUUCUGUUUUAAUCAGGAAAUACAUGUUUCUCAUCUGUUUUUCAGAUGGAAACAAUCUCUAUUCCUUCCUCAGAGAGUUAUAAUUUUGUUCAGAGAAGCAAACUGCCCAACCCUGGUGAUGCAUAAGAUAUUCAUGGAAAUUAGGGGUGACCGUGUGACCUGUUUAGCCAAUGAGAUCUGAACAGACCUUUGCUGAGAAAGAUGGAAUGGCUGGAUCUACACCAGAUAUCUUGUGACCAUGAGACAAACAUGAAGAUGAAAAUCAACACCCUGAGAUACCUAAUCAGAAAGGAGGAAAGAUCCUAACUGCAAAUAAACCAACAUUACCAACAAU